UAUUAGGUAGGUGCAAAAGUAAUUACAGUUUUGCACUAAAAGUAAUGGCAAAAACCACAGUUACUUUUGCACCAACAUAAUAUAAAACUACAGU
rnacentral:miRNA from 1 species